rnacentral:lncRNA from 1 species
UUCUUUUUACUUAAACUCUUUUAAAAGUGGUUUCAGAUAGAUAUGAUUAUGAAUUGUACUCUGUACAUAUUGCAUGUAUUCAUCAGGUAUGAAAGGCUGAUCACCUUCAUUACCAGUCGUUCCAGAUAUAAUUGUUAUGUUCAUUUUUAAUGUUCAUUCAGCUUAAUACAUUGUGAAGGAUAGCCAGCUUAUUAUUCAAACCCUUUCCAUCAUGAUAUAUCUUUACCUUGCUUUUAAACUUGCUGGGC